AAAAUAGAACGUGUUCUUGAAUAGGGUGAGCCCUAGAGUGGGAAAAUUGUCAAAGCCACAUGCAUCCCCAAUACCACUGAAAAACCAUUUAAAACAGCUCCAGCAGAAACUUAUGCUCAAAUAUUUUCCAAGACGACCAACUUGAUUCCUUGCAAGUUCAGCGCCGGUAUUUGUAUGGAAGCUAUUAAUUAACAUGGCAGUUGCAGUUCCACUAGGGUAUGUGAGCUUAUAACCCAUUACCAUAACCUUACGGAGAGGCACAAGACUAAAAAGUCCAAGGAAACUAACUACAAAUAUAAAUCCCAUCAUCCAUAAUAACCCUGGAUUCUUAACAUCCUCUGCACGGUUUCCAGGAUAAUCAGGACCUAUAAGGUUGUAUGUUUUCUCAUCCAUUGCUAGCAAGUAUGAUCCAAAACCACCACUAAAAGCGAGGCCAUAGCAAGCAACAACACAGGUCUGAAUAACGGUAUUCUCUUGCUUAGUAAAUGGUUUAACAGAAAAUCCGAGCUGGGACAUAAAACCGGUCCAUGAUUUGACGAAGAAAAACCCGAGGAGACCAGCAGCGACAUUAAGGGAAGGAAUGAUACCAACAGUGAGAUUGAGCUUGUGGGUGAUGAUACAAAACAGAGUACCAAGCACAGCACUCACCACUAGACCUCUAAUGGUGAUCUGCUCCUUCCAAUCGGGUAUAUUUUCCGAAUCGGAUUCGACGAUUUUGGAGGUUUCCUCUAAUAAUGGCUCCGAUAUCUCUACAGUUCCAGAAUUUUCUGUCCCCAUUGAAACUUUUCACGAUUUG
rnacentral:misc_RNA from 1 species